rnacentral:lncRNA from 1 species
GAACAGGAAGCCCAUGUUGUUUCUUCAGUUAACAAGAUCAACCUUGCUGGGAAAUGAACAAGCGACCAGGGUUCCUGUGUGAAGAACAUGACUCUGGAUAGGACAGCUCUGCAGUUGAGACAGACGCUGAAGGAGCUGGAGGCUACCUGCUGACCACUCUCCCCAGCAGCUGAGAAGUGAGUCCUUUUUUGGAGUGGGAUCUUGGUGACAAAAUCUCCAUGUCUAUCAAAAAAGCAAGUAAUAAUAAUACUGA